GACGAACGCUGGCGGCGUGCUUAACACAUGCAAGUCGAGCGGAGCGGCGAACGGGUGAGUAACGCGGGAGUAACUGCCCCCCUCUCUGGGAUAACAGUUGGAAACGGCUGGUAAUACCGGAUAGUGGGGGGGGACUCGCGUCCUAACAGCUUGGUGGGGGGGUAGGGGCCUACCAAGGCGACGACGGGUGGCCGGCCUGAUCGGGCGACCGGCCACAUUGGGCUGCAAUACGGCCCCAACUCCUACGGGAGGCAGCAGUGGGGUAUAUUGCACAAUGGGGGAACCCCUGAUGCAUCAACGCCGCGUGCGGGAUGACGGCCUUCGGUUUGUACACCGCUUUCAGCCAUGACGCGGUAGUGGCAGAAGAAGCACCGGCUAACUACGUGCCAGCAGCCGCGGUAAUUC
rnacentral:rRNA from 1 species